CUCUCCUCUUACUCUUCCUUUCCCAGUUUUGAAAUCAUUCCUUCCCCACCACUGCCGCCCUCCCAUCCAUCCCCUCCCCUUCCCCUGCACUGAAUGAAUGGAAGAGUCUCCAGGGCUUUCUUCUGCUUCUCGCCCUGGACUGAAGAAGUGAGGGGGCAUCUAUCUAUCCUCAUCCAUCUCUUUCUCGCUUCAUCCAUUCUCGAGGGGAUUUCAGAUCGUGCAAUGUGUUUCCAGCCUCUUGCCGCUGCUACCACUUGAUACUAUGCGACGCGCAGGGAGAGGGUUUUGCAAAAAUGGAUUUAUUCUAUUUUAAAGGAUUUCUUCUCUAAUAAGGAUCUCAUUGCACACAAAUAUGACUAAAUCCCCUAUUUGGUAAAUCUUUCUCUACCCCACCCCUCCUCUUUGGGUUCCCUCCCGCCCGCGCCCCCACCCCUUCAGAGGAGCAAGCACAGGGAGCUGAUGACGGACCCAUUAAUCCCUUCUUCAAUGCAUCAAAAGAAGCCGAAGGGCUGGAAGUCGCUGGGCUCGGAGUCCUGCAGGAAAUGCUUCGAUCUGCUUUUGGUUCUGUAUGAAACUGGUGACUAGGGGCUCGGCUCGCUCCGCCGCCGCCGCCCGCCGGCACCUGGAUGCGCGGGCCGCCGCCGCCGCCUUGCCCGCCGCCGCGAUGCAACGCUCCUGGCGGUGCUGGUGAUCGCUCGGGUGUGAUGGGAUUGAGCCGGCGGUGAUCAUUUGAAGGCGGUGGGGGAGAGCGAGGGAGAGGAAGGGCUGCUCCGCUGUGCCGUGCGUGUGGGGGCUUCGGGAUUUUUCUUUUUCUUCUUCUUUUCCUACUUCCAUCCUCUCCCCGCCACUGGAAGUCCUCCCGUAUCUAAAUGGAAUUAGUGGAGACCGAAGCCCCUUGUGUAAGGAACAGACAUGACCCAUGGGCGCAGCUUCCUUCACAUUGUAGCAAGUCUAAUCAUCCUACAUUUGUCUGGGGCAACGAAAAAAGGAACAGAAAAGCAAACUACUUCCGAAGGACAGAAACCAGUGCAGUGUGGAACUUGGACCAAAUAUGCAGAAGGAGGCAUCUUCACUUCUCCAAAUUACCCCAACAAGUAUCCUCCAGACAGAGAGUGUGUCUACAUUAUAGAAGCUGCUCCUAGACAAUGCAUUGAACUACACUUUGAUGAAAAAUAUUCCAUAGAGCCUUCUUGGGAGUGUAAAUUUGACCAUAUUGAAGUACGAGAUGGACCUUUUGGCUUUUCCCCAAUCAUUGGACGUUUCUGUGGACAGCAAAAUCCACCUAUGAUAAAAUCCAGUGGCAGAUUCCUGUGGAUUAAAUUUUUUGCUGAUGCUGAACUAGAAUCUAUUGGAUUUUCUGCUCGGUAUAACUUUACACCUGAUCCAGAUUUUAAGGACCUUGGUGUUUUAAAGCCAUUGCCAGUUUGUGAGUUUGAGAUGGGAGGACCUGAAGGAAUUGUGGAAUCUGUACAAAUUGUCAAAGAAGGAAAAGCUUCUGAAACUGAAGCAGUAGACUGUAAAUGGUACAUCCGAGCGCCACCCCGAUCCAAGAUCUAUUUGCGAUUCUUGGACUACGAGAUGCAGAAUUCCAAUGAAUGCAAAAGGAAUUUUGUAGCUGUCUAUGAUGGAAGCAGCUCCGUGGAGGAUUUGAAAGCAAAGUUUUGCAGCACUGUUGCUAAUGAUGUAAUGCUGCGGACAGGUCUUGGUGUGAUCCGCAUGUGGGCAGAUGAAGGCAGUCGAAACAGCCGAUUCCAGAUGCUCUUCACAUCUUUCCAAGAACCCCCUUGUGAAGCCAACGCAUUCUUUUGCCAUAGUAAUAUGUGUAUAAACAAUACACUGGUCUGCAACGGACUCCAGAACUGUGUGUAUCCCUGGGAUGAAAACCACUGCAAAGAAAAAAGAAAAGCUAACCUAUUGGACCAACUUACCAAUACCAGUGGGACUAUAAUUGGGGUGACUUCUUGCAUUGUGAUCAUCCUCAUUGUUUUAUCUAUUAUAGUACAGAUCAAGCAGCCUCGUAAAAAAUUUGUCCAAAGGAAAACAGACUUUGAUCAAAAUGUGUUCCAGGAGGUGUUUGAGCCUCCUCAUUAUGAGUUAUGCACCCUCAGAGGGACAGGAACUACAGCUGACCUUGCUGAUGUUGCAGAUGACUUUGAAAAUUAUCAUAAACUGCGGAGAUCCUCUUCAAAAUGCAUUCAUGACCAUCACUGUGGAUCACAAGUGUCUAGCAUUAAGGGCAGCCGUAGUAACCUCAGCACAAGAGAUGCUUCUGUCUUGACAGAAAUACAACCCCAACCUGUAAAACCACUUGUUCAACCCAUGAACAGGAGAAAUAUCCUUGUCAUGAAGCAUAGCUACUCACAAGAUGCUGCAGAUGCGUGUGAGAUAGACGAAAUUGAAGAAGUACCAACCACAAGUCACAGGCUGUCCAGACAUGAUAAAUCUGUUCAGCGCCAUAACAUUCCAGGUUCUGCCUCAUUGGGUCUCUAAGCAAACAUGAGUCUGAGUACAACACCACUAGGGUCUAAGAGACAAACCUGAGACAACUAUUCAUGCAGUCAUGAAAACUCUGAAUGGAAAACUUUAUAAUGAAUUAUCUCAGCUGUCUGAAAUAGUGGAAAAUUUUCUAAUUUAAUUUCAUUGCCUUUAUGCAAAUUUAAGAAAUAUAGGCAUAUCUUAAUUCCUUAGCAAGAUACUCCCAUUGCACAGUAAUAUAUUUCUUUUGCAAUUUUGUUGCUGGCCACCAAGUGCUCCUUAGUUAUUAAAUAUAUUUGGAGAUUUGCUACAAACUUGAGGAAGAAAUUAGCUCCUAUGACUGACCCUUUUUUUUUUUUUUAAUCAUAGUUUUAUUUAAGUUUAUAUGUUUUAUGUCUGGUUUCUACUUGUAUGUUUUGUGAUAUGUGAAAGAAGAUUUACAUUGAACUUUUGUUAUAUGUACAUUGUUUUCAUUAUAUAGACUGCUUGAGAAUAGUGCGCUCCUGGGUGAUUUUGAACAUGCUACAAUGAAAGGUGAAACUAUCGUCCUUGGAAACACCAGCUAGAGGUUUUAUGGACUCUCUGACCAGCUAUUCUCAUGUCAUGACAAAAUUCAGCAAUCAGUGUUGAGUAAAAUUACUAGAAGGCAAUAAGACUUUGGUUAUUAUGGUUAUCAGUCAUUUCUCUUUUUCUUUUUCUCUCUUUCUUUUGUUAAAAUUUAAAUUCCCAAUUUCAGGAACAAUUUAUUGAAAUCAGGUAUUUAGCCAUUCAUAAUCACUUCAAUAGAAGCGUUUGUUGGAUAAGCAUCUAGCAAUAUGACUGAAUUUGACAUUGAGAAAUUAAUCUGCAUGUUUGUUACUGAAUAUUUGAGUUGGCAAAAAUCCCUUUAUUAGAUACAUUGUAAAAAGCAUGCAUUCACAAUUAUUGCUGUUACUGUUCCAUUUCUGUGUCAUAUGCUUGCUACUUGUAAUUUUUUAUAUAAAAAUACAUAAAAAAAUGUAUAAUAA